GGAAUCUUGCGCAAUGGGCGAAAGCCUGACGCAGCGACGCCGCGUGUGGGAUGACGGCCUUCGGGUUGUAAACCACUGUCGGGAGGGACGAAUACAUGACGGCACCCCCAACGGCAGCACCGGCCACCUCUGUGCCAGCAGCCGCGGUAAUACAGAGGGUGCGAGCGUUGUCCGGAAUUACUGGGCGUAAAGGGCGCGUAGGCGGCCUGGUAAGUCGGGGGUGAAAGUCAGCGGCUCAACCGCUGGACUGCCUUCGAGACUGCCUGGCUUGAGCAUGGUAGAGGCUGGCGGAAUUCCCGGUGUAGCGGUGGAAUGCGUAGAGAUCGGGAAGAACAUCGGUGGCGAAGGCGGCCAGCUGGGCCAUUGCUGACGCUGAGGCGCGACAGCGUGGGGAGCAAA
rnacentral:rRNA from 1 species